rnacentral:rRNA from 1 species
GAUGUGAAAGACCCGGGGCCGUCAACCUACCGGAAUAAGCAUUUGUAAACUAGGCAGACUAGAGUACUGUAGAGGGGGGUAGGAAUUUCAGGUGUAGCGGUGAAAUGCGUAGAGAUCUGAAGGAAUACCGGUGGCGAAGGCGGCCCCCUCGGACAGAUACUGACACUCAGAUGCGAAAGCGUGGGGAGCAAACAGGAUUAGAUACCCCUGGUAG